UGAGUAACGCGUGGGUAACCUGCCUUAUACAGGGGGAUAACAGUCAGAAAUGGCUGCUAAUACCGCAUAAGCGCACAGUGCUGCAUGGCACAGUGUGAAAAACUCCGGUGGUAUGAGAUGGACCCGCGUCUGAUUAGCUAGUUGGUGGGGUAACGGCCUACCAAGGCGACGAUCAGUAGCCGGCCUGAGAGGGUGAACGGCCACAUUGGGACUGAGACACGGCCCAAACUCCUACGGGAGGCAGCAUG
rnacentral:rRNA from 1 species